AUCCUUUUUUGGUUCAUAAGUGUGAUGACUGGGUUUUCAUGCUCAUGUGUGAGAUGUGCCUCCCUCAAACCUUGUUACUAGUCGGCACAUUACCUGUCUCAUG